GUUUAACACUUCAUGACUGAGAGCUGCUACAGCAACUUCUUCACCCACAGCAGCCAUGACUUUAAUCCCCAUCUUCAUCUGGACCCUGAUCUUCUGCUCUCAAGAGUCCAUAGGUCAGGUGACUGUGACUCAGAGUCCUGCAGUGAAAUCUGCUCUUCCAGGAGACUCCGUCACCAUCAGCUGCAGGACCAGUCCUGCUGUUUACGGCAACAAUCGCUUAUUCUGGUAUCAGCAGAAACCUGGAGAAGCUCCUAAACUCCUGAUUAUUUAUGUGAAUCAGCUUCAGUCUGGUUUUGCAGCUCGUUUCAGUGGUAGUGGAUCUGGAUCUGACUUCACUCUGACCAUCAGUGGAGUCCAGCCUGAAGAUGCUGCUGAUUAUUACUGUCAGAGUUUUCAUGUUAUCAGCAGCACCUAUCUGUUCACACAGUGAUAUAACGCCGUACAAAAACCUCCGUCACUCAGUCCGGCUGCACAGAGACUGCACUGCUGCAGUGGGAUCUCCUGCAGGUGCUGAGAUGGAGGAAGUGAAACAGGGCUGUUGAGCAGAAAAACUGCUUUUAGAUGAAUGUAGGUGCAGAAAUUGUUCAGGCCCGUUCACUUUUACAAAUUCAACCCUGCCAUCCUCACUAUUAAUGUUUUAUUAUUUUGUUUUAUUUUAUUGUUUUUUAUUGUUUUAUUUGGAUCCUCAUUAGCUGCUAUUGUAAUAUCAGCUUUUCUUCCUGAGGUCCAACCGACAUAACAUACAUAACAAAUAUAAAAUAGAAUAAAUGAAUAAAUGUUACAAUUAUAUAGCACUUUUCAAGACACUCAAGGUCACAUUACAAUAAACACUACAUCCAAUCAAUCACACUCAGCCAACACACACACAGUUUAGAGUAUCCAGUUAACUUGACUUGGAAAAUCAAAGUCCCUGAAAGAAACCCUUCAGACAGAGGAAGAACAUGGAAGCUCCACCCAGACAGGGACUUGAACCCAAGACCUACUGAUUACUGAGAGGAGAAAGUGCUGACCACCAAAAUCAUUCAUAGUGAUUAA